UACGGAGGGGGCUAGCGUUGUUCGGAAUCAUUGGGCGUAAAGAGCGUGUAGGCGGCCCGAUAAGUCCGCCGUGAAAGUCCAGGGCUCAACCCUGGAAUGCCGGUGGAAACUGUCGGGCUGGAGUCCGGAAGAGGCGAGUGGAAUUCCUGGUGUAGCGGUGAAAUGCGCAGAUAUCAGGAGGAACACCAAUGGCGAAGGCAGCUCGCUGGGACGGUACUGACGCUGAGACGCGAAAGCGUGGGGAGCAAACAGG
rnacentral:rRNA from 1 species